rnacentral:rRNA from 1 species
CUACGGGCGGCUGCAGUGGGGAAUAUUGCACAAUGGAGGAAACUCUGAUGCAGCAACGCCGCGUGGAGGAUGACACUUUUCGGAGUGUAAACUCCUUUUAUAUAGGAAGAAGAUGACGGUACUAUAUGAAUAAGCGCCGGCUAACUCCGUGCCAGCAGCCGCGGUAAUACGGAGGGCGCAAGCGUUACUCGGAAUCACGGGGCGUAAAGAGCGUGUAGGCGGAUUAAAAAGUCAGAAGUGAAAUCCUAUAGCUUAACUAUAGAACUGCUUCUGAAACUCUUAAUCUAGAAUAUGGGAGAGGUAGAUGGAAUUUCUGGUGUAGGGGUAAAAUCCGUAGAGAUCAGAAGGAAUACCGAUUGCGAAGGCGAUCUACUAGAACAUUAUUGACGCUGAGACGCGAAAGCGUGGGGAGCAAACAGGAUUAGAUACCCGGGUAGUC